GCAUAUCAAUAAGCGGAGGAAAAGAAAGCAACAGCGAUAGCCUCAGUAACGGCGAGUGAAGCGGCUACAGCUCAAAUUUGAAAUCUGGCCUCCUUUGGGGGUCCGAGUUGUAAUUUGCAGAGGAUGCUUUGGCAUUGGCGGCGGUCUAAGUUCCUUGGAACAGGACAUCGCAGAGGGUGAGAAUCCCGUACGUGGGCGCCUGCCUUUGCCGUGUAAAGCUCCUUCGACGAGUCGAGUUGUUUGGGAAUGCAGCUCUAAAUGGGAGGUAAAUUUCUCCUAAAGCUAAAUACCGGCCAGAGACCGAUAGCGCACAAGUAGAGUGAUCGAAAGAUGAAAAGUACUUUGGAAAGAGAGUCAAAUAGCACGUGAAAUUGUUGAAAGGGAAGCGCUUGCAGCCAGACUUGCCCGCAGUUGCUCACCUAGGCUUUCGCCUGGGGCACUCUUCUGCGGGCAGGCCAGCAUCAGUUUGGGCGGUCGGAUAAAGGCCUCUGUCAUGUACCACCCUUCGGGGUGGCCUUAUAGGGGAGGCGUAAUGCGACCAGCCCGGACUGAGGUCCGCGCAUCUGCUAGGAUGCUGGCGUAAUGGCUGUAAGCGGCCCGUCUUGAAACACGGACCAAGGAGUCUAACAUCUAUGCGAGUGUUUGGGUGUCAAGCCCGGGCGCGCAAUGAAAGUGAACGGAGGUGGGAACCUUUCGGGGUGCACCAUCGACCGAUCCUGAAGUCUUCGGAUGGAUUUGAGUAAGAGCAUAGCUGUUGGGACCCCGAAAGAUGGUGAACUAUGCUUGAAUAGGGUGAAGCCCAGAGGAAACUCUGGUGGAGGCUCGCAGCGGUUCUGACGUGCAAAUCGAUCGUCAAAUUUGGGCAUAGGGGCGAAAGACUAAUCGAYCAUCUAGUAGCUGGCUCUGCG
rnacentral:rRNA from 1 species